CUCACCUCGAAAGGCGCGAUGUUGGGAAAAGUGACAUCGACGACCAGCACGCCAGGCCGACCUUGAGAGGUCCUCAUGUCGCCCACUUGCAGGGCUACAGUGCUUUUCACAUGACAGGGCACCAACACACGGGACAUGAUUUGGGAGAUUACAACCAAGCAAAAUCACCGCUCACAGUCUCCAUCCAACCACUAGCUCUUAUUGGCGUCCCUUAUCAACCAAAAGAACUACAACUCCCAGGCCACAUAACGUUUGUAACAGUUCAGCCAAUCACCGAUGAUCAGGGCGGGUCAAGAGUCGGAAAUGUCAACGGAAGUUCUUCUUCAACCAAUCAUCCUCGCGUCUAUCUGUUAUCCACAAAUUUCAUCAGUUUU
rnacentral:lncRNA from 1 species